rnacentral:rRNA from 1 species
UGGGGAAUCUUGGACAAUGGGGGCAACCCUGAUCCAGCCAUGCCGCGUGAGUGAUGAAGGCCUUAGGGUCGUAAAGCUCUUUCGCCUGUGAAGAUAAUGACGGUAGCAGGUAAAGAAACCCCGGCUAACUUCGUGCCAGCAGCCGCGGUAAUACGAAGGGGGCAAGCGUUGUUCGGAAUUACUGGGCGUAAAGCGCACGUAGGCGGACCAGAAAGUUGGGGUGAAAUCCCGGGGCUCAACCCCGGAACUGCCUCCAAAACUAUUGGUCUAGAGUUCGAGAGAGGUGAGUGGAAUUCCAAGUGUAGAGGUGAAAUUCGUAGAUAUUUGGAGGAACACCAGUGGCGAAGGCGGCUCACUGGCUCGAUACUGACGCUGAGGUGCGAAAGUGUGGGGAGCAAACAGGAUUAGAUACCCUGGUAGUCCACACCGUAAAACGAUGAAUGCCAGUCGUCGGGUAGCAUGCUAUUCGGUGACACACCUAACGGAUUAAGCAUUCC